UACGGAGGGUGCAAGCGUUAUCCGGAUUCACUGGGUUUAAAGGGUGCGUAGGCGGGCAGGUAAGUCCGUGGUGAAAUCCUAUAGCUUAACUAUAGAACUGCCAUGGAUACUAUUUGUCUUGAAUGUUGUGGAGGUAAGCGGAAUAUGUCAUGUAGCGGUGAAAUGCUUAGAUAUGACAUAGAACACCUAUUGCGAAGGCAGCUUACUACGCAAUGAUUGACGCUGAGGCACGAAAGCGUGGGUAG
rnacentral:rRNA from 1 species